rnacentral:rRNA from 1 species
UGUCGAUGAAGAGCGCAGCCAACUGUGUGAAUUAAUGUGAACUGCAUAUUGCUUUGAACAUCGACAUCUUGAACGCACAUUGCGGCCAUGGGUUAGCCUGUGGCCACGCCUGUCCGAGGGUCG